rnacentral:rRNA from 1 species
UACAGAGGUCUCAAGCGUUGUUCGGAUUCAUUGGGCGUAAAGGGUGCGUAGGUGGCGCCGUAAGUCAGGUGUGAAAUUUCGGAGCUUAACUCCGAAACUGCAUUUGAUACUGCGGUGCUUGAGGACUGGAGAGGAGACUGGAAUUCCUGGUGUAGCAGUGAAAUGCGUAGAUAUCAGGAGGAACACCGAUGGCGAAGGCAGGUCUCUGGGCUGACACUGACGCUCAUGCACGAAAGCGUGGGGAGCAAACAGG